CUACUUUCUCUGAAAAUUCUUACUUGAGCCUCUGUGGUUCAUCCUUUUCACCAGUCUGUCUCUGUUGUGGCUAUUCUCAUUUCCAAUAGUGAAAAAAUGCCAUUCAAUCUCAAGGAAGUUGUUGAUGGCACUGUGCCUGGAAAAGUCCAAAUGCAGUUAACCAUAGCUAGCGAUGGUCUUUCGUGGUAUAGAACCAUUUGGUGAAUGCAGUUCAGCAGAGAGCCAAAGCUGAAAGCUUUUGUUUGGCAAGAGAUUGUUAACAUUUCUUCUCGAUACUUGGCAUACUUCAGGUUUAACAAUGAAAGUGAUACUGAAAACCUCUGAGGAAUGUCAGGAAAUGUUUGGGGUGUUUUUGUUUAGAAUUCCUUAAAGUGUUUAUCUGUGGCCUCCAAUUUAUAAAAUCUGUGGCUACACAGACUUUUUUGUAAAUUUAAACAGAUGUAUUUUAUUAAAUCAGAAGAAAAGGAUUUUGAAAAUGAACUAAUGAUUCUGGGAGCCACUGUCUUUACUCCCAACUUUAAACUCUUGAAGACUUGAAAAAAAUACGUCAUGUCUAAGGAGCUAUUGAACUGCAAAAUUUCUUUGCCUGUGUAUGGACUCCCCAAGUCUGAAGCUGACAUAGCCAAAUGUUACUGCACCACUGAGUGCCUUUGCCCUUCAGCAGUGCAGACACUCUUUUUCCUUUUUUUUUAAUUUAAUUUCACAGUAAACUUACAGUUUUUGCAUUUUGGCCUUAAAAACUGCAGAGCUAAUAAACAUUUUCUCCUUUGUGUCCAUUUCCAUAGAAACAGAUUUUGUGUUAGUGCUACAAUUGUUCUCUGAACUUGUGCUGCUUUUUUUGUUUUGUUUUGUUUUUUUUUUUUCUGUAAGGGUCUCUGGAAUUUAACAUUUAUUUGUUCCUUGGAAAGUUAUAAUUUUAUCUAUUUGAGAUGAAUUGUAAAUGUUCUUAUUCUCUCCUCUAUUUCUUAGUAAGCAAUUCCUAAAUGAAACAACAUUGAAAACUGAAAAGAAAUUUAUUUUAAAAGAAGCCUUGGAGAAGCAGUGGCAGUUUCCUCCUCGGAUACUCCCUAUUGCCUUAGCAACAUCUUCAGCUAAGAGUCAGGGACUGAACUGGUACUUUAACAGUAGAACAGAAGUUUACAGAACUGUUUGUAGGUCCUCUCCAUUGGAGGAAUGAUUACUGCCCACAGGAGACAAAUGGAUGUGCAGAGAAGGAUCCUUUCUGUCCCAUAUGUACUAAACCAAGCUCUAUCACAGUUAUAAGUGAAGACAUUGCUUCUUUCAGCAUUCUUAUCAGAAUCCAAGUUUUCAAUUUCCUCGAAGCCAAUAUCUGCAUAGAGGUAGGACUCACUCCCUGACAUACCAGCAGGGAACUCUGAAGUUCUGAGAACAAAAGGUAAGGAUGAACAGGAAGAAAUGGGGUCCAGAGCUCUGUAGCCUGCCAAGCAAGCCUGCUACAGCUAGGACUGAGGUUGUUCUAUUUUUUCAAGUACUGCGGUUAAGAGAUUUUGAAAGCUAAUGCUUUCAUCUACUUACUAACAUAAGAAGAAAAUCCGCUCCUGCAUAUUAAUUACUCUGUUGUAAUGAAUUCCUCCAUCAUCACAAACUUGACACAAAGCUUUAUGUCCCUGCAGGUUAAUCCAAAAACAGCAAAAUAUUUCAACAUUUUUGUCUUAGCCUUAGAAGCAAAGUUCAAUUAGCCAAACCUGAGCACGUGUACUUCUGUAUUUUGAAAAAUCAAUCGUUUUUAACAGCUAAAAGCUUUUCAAGCAGCAUUCAAACAGACCACGUUUAUUAGGUGAUCUCCAGCUUGUAGUUCCAGGUCCAGUACUCUCUUAAAUGUGAAUUAAACCCUCAAGGAUAUUACCAGCGCAUAACGAUCUCUUAGAAGAGAAUGCUUUUUUUGUUGUUGUUUAUUUUCUUUACAGUAAUGCUUGCAAACUCUGACUAAAAGUUUUCAAAACAGACAGGUGAAAUGGAAUACUUAAUUUCUGAGACUUUAGGAAGGCAUAAUUUUAAAAGAGAGGAGCAUCAGUACAUUCCAAGAGUCAAAUAAUUUCAUCUGAGAUAAAAAAAAUGUGAUUAAGCUGAACGUAGAUCUGUAUGGUUCACGUGGUUCUCUUAAAAAAGUAACAGACGGAUUGGUCCAGAUACUGAUGUGAAAGAAUUAAAAAGAGGUAUCAGAUAUAUCUGCUUUGCAAAGUCUGAAUAGCUGGUUGGUUUUGUUUGUCAAAUUUGAAUGCUAACCUGAGAAUUCUUCUCAAGUUCUGAUAAGAAAUAUUAACAAACUCUUUGCACACGAAGCUUUUAGUGUUGUCUUUUGGAUCAAUUAGCCAGCGGCUAUACUCGCUAGGCCAUUCCUCUACACUGCCCUCCAACCCAUGCUGAGUCCUUGACAUUUGCUUUCUGUUCAAAUGGCUUUUAUCAACAGUGGUUCAAUAUUGCUGUUCACGCAUAUUCAUAAUCUAUCAACAGGUCUCAAAAAUAUUUCAUGAAAUUAAAUUAUAAGAAUUAAUUUAUAAUUAAAUUAUCUGGCUUCUAAGCCAGAUAAAGUGAACUUAGGUUUCUGUCCUCUCUCUGUGAGUAUGAGAGCUGCAAACAAACUAAGAUUCAUCUCACCAAGCUUCAGGUGUCUCAAGGCACCUUAGCUAAUCUGACUACAAAGAGAUUUGUGACUUUCUUGAACCAAAAUAAUCCUGCCUUGUGUCCCUAGUAGUAAUGAGGUGAUCUUCUUGCCCUUCCUUAUAAACAGUCAAAUUGCCUAAUUUAUGUGUUAUAUCUGCCUCCUAUGUCUUAAUAAGUAUUUUCCAUGCCAGCCUUAGCUGCCAGAUUCCUGGCUCCCUGGGUAAGGAAGUUGGAAGCUUUGCAAAUUCUGUGUUGAAACAAAUUUCUCACAGAUCCUACUAGCAGAGUGGAAAGCCUAGUGAUGAGAGAAGGCCUAGGACUCAGCUCCUGGUGUAAGGACAGGAAGCCUGAGAAUGUUGAGAGCCUAACAGAAACUUGAGUCUUAUAAUCUCCAAUGUCCUUCUGCAGGAUCAGGCACUGUAGCUUCAUUGUUUUCAGCACUAUAAGAGCUCCAGUGUUCCCAGCUUCCUUCCAGGGAGCCAGUGUACUUUGAUGUGGCUGUUCAUUCCAGAACACUGAUGUUCAUGGUUCACUUGACUGGGUGAUCCAUUGCUAGAAAUUCUACAAGCCCAGGGCCUGCUUUCCUGCAUGCCCUCCUUGGUUUGUUCAGCCCAGAGAACAGGAGACUGGGUGAGACCACAUGGAUGCCUACAGCACCUCACAAAAGGAAGUGGAGGGGCAGGCACUAAAUUUAACCUGUCAAAUAUAUGAAACAAACUUAAAUCUAAAAACUUGAAAGGAUUGCAAAUGUCACCCAAAAGAUGGCUAAUCAUUCCUUACAUUACUGGAAAAUGUACAGAGUUUAGUGUGUGUUAAAAAAACCAGCCUUCAUUUUCCUUGCAUACUUUCUGUCUGUCAGAAAAUCUGUGAAAAAAAGGAAGACCGUAUGAAUAGAAGGUGGAUAUACACAAGGAAGCAGAGCUUCAGUUAAAAUCCUACAUGUGGAAAACACAGGAUCCGUCAUCAUCAGUGGUGCUUUUCCUUCUAGACAGUAUGAAUGUUCAGAAUGUUCAAUGCUAUUCCCAUUAACGCAAAAUUAAGUCAAAUUUCUGAUUCUGCAGGCCCCAUUUUGUCUAACACUGACAAACUCAAGAAAUAAUCUAGACUAACGUAACAUGAAUCAGACCUGCAAAACCAAACUACUUUGGUGGGCACCUGAUUUCAUGCAGUAGUUAGAAGUGAACUGGAAGAUAUUCUGAAAAAGAGCCUCCAUUAAAAAUGUGACUACUUGAACCCAGUAUAAAAUCAAGAGAACAGAAAGGUACCAGCUUGUCAAUAUGUCUACCUCAAAAAGUAAGGUAUUGUUUUAAAGGAAAUUUAAGAAUGCCCUUUUCUUCUUUAAGAUCUACAGACUCAGACUAUAAAAAAGAUUUGUAGUUGCCAUGGAUUUAGAAUAUCAAAUUUGGAAGCUGCUGGCUAGCAACCUUCACUGUUUUACUGAUAAGAUGUGUUUUUAUCAGUUUUCGUGGCAUUUAUUCAUGAAACUUUGAACUGAAUUUUCUGUUCUUUGGAAAAAACACUAAGUUAUUGUACCAUGUGGUAACAAACCGAAAUUCCACUCACAUGGACAUAAGUCAUUUUAUCUUACCACCCACAAAGAGAAAACUUCAUAAUCAAGCUGGUCACAAAAUUCAACAAAAAACAGUGUAACAGUGGAACUAAAAAUUGAUGUGUGAAGAAGCUGAAAUUUAGAAUAGGCUUCCAAAGGAAUUUCUAUGUAAUUUAUUGCUUUUAAUCUUUUUUUUCCCCAAAGAAAAGGAGACUCAUUUUAUUUCAUUUCUAGUUAUCAGCUAGGCAAUCUAUCUGCUUCGACUUCUGAAAAGAAAAUCAGUUGGGCAAGGACAGACUUAAAUGAGAGAAAUCGGAGAAUAUUGUCUGUUGGGCACUGCUACUGCCUAAGUAGCUACCUGAGAACUCAGUAAUGUUACCAGGUCCUCAGCAGCAUUUUUGAAUAUACUCAGCAUUAGCUUAAUUCUGGUUAUGCCAAAGUCAGUGUUAAAUUCACCUCACAUCACUGGGAACAAAGUUAGAUAGAACAGUAUGUUUCUGAAAAGCUCUCUGCUUAUUUACUCCAGACUAAAGAAACAGAUUGCUGAAAAGAUGAGGAACUGCUGAAUAAUGAAACAACAAGCAAUCUUUUUUUUUUCUUGAGAAAACUAACAGCUAAAAUAAGUUUUCUCUUCAGAUCAAAAUUGGAAUCUUUAUCCUGCCAAUAGGUCUGUGCAGUUACAACUUUGUAUCAGUGAAUUUUCAAAGACUGGAGUUACAGAUAUGCUUAACUGUGUGCUCUGUGUACAGCACCACUGAAGUCAACAGUAUAUUCAAGGUUAAGUUCUAGCAGAGACCCUGGUUUGCACGGAUUUCUUAGAAACUGUUUAUUUUAUUGCAAGUGGGAUGCUGUUCUUCAUGCCAAAAGGUUUAAUUUACAAAAGUGCCAUGGGAUAUAUAACUUGGAUAUUUCUGUAUGGACUUUUGUUACUCUCUGCAGCACUUUGAGGACGUUAUUCCACACUGAAUUACACUUUUUUUUUUUUUUUGCCAAGUUAGCAGAAGAGCAGGAAGUGUCCAAGUCACACAUCAAAGAACUUAUUAAUUGCCUCCUGCAUAUGAGGCCAAGCAACCUAUCUGAAACUGCAGCGGAAGACUUGUGCAGAUGGAUCCACAGUAAUGGAUGAAAAGCUCUGGCAAAAAUGGAGAAAGCACAGAUAUGGGUGCUAGGGCAAUGCUCUCUGGAAACCAGCUCAUCACAUAACAUGCCAGGAGCUUCUCCAGCAAAGUCAAGGUGGGCGAGAUCAAACUUUAAGUGCUGUUACUGCUGUGAUUGAAAGCUAUCCUAAAAAGGAAUUUGUUACAGAAUUCUCUUUUUCCACCCCAAAACUAAUUCUGACAUUGAGAUGCAGUGCAGAGCUUUGAUGUUGAGAAGACUGUGCAGCUGGCAAGUCAUCAGAGCAACUGAGCUGCAUGAAUACCUCUCAAAAGUCUGACAUGUGCCUGUCAGUGUAGAGCUAAGCAAAUAACAUCCUUGGUUUGUUCAGCAAAUAAGGAGUUAUUUGAAUUGAUGAUUUAGAUCUCCUUAGUGAUGUGUUUGUUUAUAAUUUCUGAGAUUGUGUGUAUUUCACUGAGGCGAUUUAAUACCAUAUUAACUAUCUGAGAGGGACACUUCACACUCCCAACCCAAAUGCUUACAGCAAGAUUUAGAAACCCAUAUAUAUGCAGCUUUAAGAAAGAUCCUUCUUGAGGUGAAGCACGAAAAUACAAGUACCACACUCACAUGAUGAAAUAAGAAAUUUCAAUGCAAAACUGUACUAGUAAGGCAAGCUUCUUGAAAAAAAAAAAAAAACAAACCCACAGAAGCUGGUAUUUUAGGACAAUUACUCUGUAUGCUGACUUUUAUGCUCAUAGCUGCAAGCGCAUCUCUUCUUAUGCAAAUUUGAGAUGACCUUAUCUUUACUAACGUAGUAAGAGUAAUGCUUCUGAAGAUUAAAUCAUAAUGGUCAUAGGUUCAGAUACUAAUUUGGGGUACAAAAUCUGCAGCGUAAGAUGCAGGACAGGAAAAAAGCCAAGGAUUCAGCUAUGAAGUUAUGGUCUACCUUUGAAUUUGAUUUCUCAAAGCAUCUUUCUUCCAGCCAUGAGGUGAAAUUUUCUUUUUGAAGAGUUUCAGUUUUGGGCUCAGACUUCUUUCUUUUGCUCAGUUCUCUGAAUGUGAAGAUGUCAAAACUACUUAAAAAAAAUACCCCACACAUCUAACAUCUGACCUAACAAUUUUAGAGAAUUGCUAGAGUGAGUUGUAUAACAAAGAGACCAGCUCUUGCUUGUUUAACAGUAGUAAACUAGACUUGUUGCUUAAUAAGAAUGUGCAAUUUAUUUGGUCUUCUUGUUGGAAAGUAUUUGUGUAACACUUUGGAAAAUACUUUUAUUGGAAAUUUUUUGCAUUGAUUUUUGAAACACACUUUAAAUAAAGAAUGUGAAAAGCUC